GAUGAACGCUGGCGGCGUACUUAACACAUGCAAGUCGAACGGAAAGGCCGAAGCUUGCUUCGGUACUCGAGUGGCGAACGGGUGAGUAACACGUGGGUGACCUGCCCUGUACUUCGGGAUAAGCUUGGGAAACUGGGUCUAAUACCGGAUAUGACGAUCUCUUGGAUGGGGUUGUGGAAAGCUUUUGCGGUACGGGAUGAGCUCGCGGCCUAUCAGCUUGUUGGUGGGGUAAUGGCCUACCAAGGCGUCGACGGGUAGCCGGCCAGUGAGGGUGUACGGCCGCAUUGGGACUGAGAGACGGCCCAGACUCCGAAGCGUGGCAGAAGUGGGGAAGAUUGAACGAUGAGCGCAAGCCUGAUGCAGCAGGGCCGCGGGGGGGAUAACGGCCUUCGAGGUGUAGACCCCUUUCGCAAUUGAAGAGGCCUUUUGGUGACGGUAGGUUAAGAAGAAGCACCGGCUAACUACGUG
rnacentral:rRNA from 1 species